GAUGAACGCUGGCGGCGUGCCUAAUACAUGCAAGUCGAGCGAACAGACGAGGAUCUUGCUCCUCUGACGUUAGCGGCGGACGGGUGAGUAACACGUGGAUAACCUACCUAUAAGACUGGGAUAACUUCGGGAAACCGGAGCUAAUACCGGAUAAUAUAUUGAACCGCAUGGUUCAUUAGUGAAAGACGGUUUUGCUGUCACUUAUAGAUGGUUCCUCGCCGCAUUAGCUAGUUGGUAAGGUAACGGCUUACCAAGGCGACGAUGCGUAGCCGACCUGAGAGGAUGAUCGGCCACACUGGAACUGAGACACGGUCCAGACUCCUACGGGAGGCAGCAGUAGGGAAUCUUGCGCAAUGGGCGAAAGCCUGACGGAGCCACGCCGCGUGAGUGAUGAAGGUCUUCGGAUCGUAAAGCUCUGUUAUUAGGGAAGAACAAAUGUGUAAGUAACUCUGCACGUCUUGACGGUACCUACACAGAAAGCCACGGCUAACUACGUG
rnacentral:rRNA from 1 species